UCACGAAGAAAAGAGAACAAAGCAAACAAAAGUUGCGAGUCAACUUUGUUGGAAGAAAUUUAUCUUUUCUUUAUUUGUAACUCAUGAAAUUUCCUUUACACAAUACAUUUUCCUUUAUAAGUAUUUGAAAAUAUCUUUUUGUCGUCAUUGCUGGUUUGUAAUAACUUUCCUAUAAUCUUGUCAAUACUAUAGUUCUCUGGCUCUUUUUUUUUGCAGCUCCACGGACGUGUUAGUUGGUGUCCAGCAGCGCCUCUGGAGCGAGGUUCGCUUUGCGUCCCGAGUGCGGCACAGUGAGGGGGUCUGACGGGAAAUGCCCCCCCUCCCCGGAACGCGGCAGCUUGAAGUGGGACUUUGAGCGAACGACCGUGCCGCUAAAACGAAGAAAAGUGGCCUCCUCGACCGGCGGUGCUUCGGCGAGCCACAGCCGGGAUGAAGCGUCCAAGUUCCCGCAGGUGGGCCUCUCCUCUUCCUCCUGGAGGAAGAUGGGAACCAGCCGGAGAAGUUUCCUCAACGAGCUCGGGCGAACAAAAGACAGACAUUUUGUGUGGACGUCUCAUCAGCGAAAGCGUCACGCGCGUCGUCUCUGAGAAGAACUCGGGCAACGAGCUCAGAGGGCGACCGGGGUCACGACCGCUCAACCGCUGGACGUCAGCUGGUCGACGGAGAGCCU